CCUACGGGGGGCAGCAGUGGGGAAUAUUGGACAAUGGGCGAAAGCCUGAUCCAGCCAUGCCGCGUGUGUGAAGAAGGCCUUCGGGUUGUAAAGCACUUUCAGUGGGGAAGAAAGCCUUGGGGCUAAUACCCUCGAGGAAGGACAUCACCCACAGAAGAAGCACCGGCUAACUCCGUGCCAGCAGCCGCGGUAAUACGGAGGGUGCGGGCGUUAAUCGGAAUUACUGGGCGUAAAGCGCGCGUAGGCGGUCUGAUAAGCCGGUUGUGAAAGCCCCGGGCUCAACCUGGGAACGGCAUCCGGAACUGUCAGGCUAGAGUGCAGGAGAGGAAGGUAGAAUUCCCGGUGUAGCGGUGAAAUGCGUAGAGAUCGGGAGGAAUACCAGUGGCGAAGGCGGCCUUCUGGACUGACACUGACGCUGAGGUGCGAAAGCGUGGGUAGCAAACAGGAUUAGAUACCCUUGUAGUC
rnacentral:rRNA from 1 species